rnacentral:rRNA from 1 species
UACGUAGGGUGCAAGCGUUGUCCGGAAUUAUUGGGCGUAAAGAGCUCGUAGGCGGUUUGUUGCGUCGGCUGUGAAAUCCCGAGGCUCAACCUCGGGUCUGCAGUCGAUACGAGCAAACUAGAGUGUUGCAGGGGAGACUGGAAUUCCUGGUGAUAGCGGUGAAAUGCGCAGAUAUCAGGAGGAACACCCGUGGCGAAGGCGGCUCUCUGGAACGCAACUGGACG